GACGAACGCUGGCGGCGUGCUUAACACAUGCAAGUCGAACGGAAAGGCCCUGCUUUUGUGGGGUGCUCGAGUGGCGAACGGGUGAGUAACACGUGAGUAACCUGCCCUUGACUUUGGGAUAACUUCAGGAAACUGGGGCUAAUACCGGAUAGGAGCUCCUGCUGCAUGGUGGGGGUUGGAAGUUUUGGCGGUUGGGGAUGGACUCGCGGCCUAUCAGCUUGUUGGUGGGGUAGUGGCUUACCAAGGCUUUGACGGGUAGCCGGCCUGAGAGGGUGACCGGCCACAUUGGGACUGAGAUACGGCCCAGACUCCUACGGGAGGCAGCAGUGGGGAAUAUUGCACAAUGGGCGGAAGCCUGAUGCAGCAACGCCGCGUGCGGGAUGACGGCCUUCGGGUUGUAAACCGCUUUCGCCUGUGACGAAGCGUGAGUGACGGUAAUGGGUAAAGAAGCACCGGCUAACUACGUG
rnacentral:rRNA from 1 species